rnacentral:lncRNA from 7 species
AUGAUAAUAAAAGCCUGGAGGACUUCAGGGGGCAGGCUAAACGUGAACAGGAAGAUGACAGAGCUGCAUUUCUAGGCACCUGAGGGAAGGCAGGGAGUUGUGUUGUGGCUGUCACAGCUAAAAGAUGCAUCGAGGCACAAGCAAGGAUGUCUACAGCAGCCAACAGGAAGCAUUUGACAGACCAGGAGAUUAGAGAGGAGGUUACCAUCAAGCUUAUACAGCUAUUCCCAGUGAAUACAUCCAUGGAGCCAGACCAUUUUCUGGGCAGAUACCAAAGGUGGAUGUGCUCAGCUCCCAACACCGCACUGUGGCUUCACUACAAGUCUGAGGCUGGAAGUCAUGCCAAUGAGCAUUCCUUUCCUCACUCUGUAUUGUUCACCUGGACUCAAGCACCCAGUGCCAUUUCCAGGGUUUGUCAGGUACUUUGGAAGAAACACCGCAGGACAACAGAACCUGAGAAAGAGCAUCCAGAGAAGCCAGAGGUCUUCAGUCAUUUGGGAGACGGCCAUAGGAAUGGAGUUGUGGUGGCUACAGCUACAAAAGAUGGAUGAAAAUAAAGCAGCCAAAUGGUGAUGAUCAUGAAAAAAAAAUAAAAAAUAAAAAGUGACUGUUCU